AUUGAACGCUGGCGGCAUGCUUUACACAUGCGAGUCGAACGGUAACAGGCCGCAAGGUGCUGACGAGUGGCGAACGGGUGAGUAAUGCAUCGGAACGUGCCCAGUCGUGGGGGAUAACGCAGCGAAAGCUGCGCUAAUACCGCAUACGAUCUAUGGAUGAAAGCGGGGGACCGUAAGGCCCCGCGCGAUUGGAGCGGCCGAUGUCAGAUUAGGUAGUUGGUGGGGUAAAGGCCCACCAAGCCAACGAUCUGUAGCUGGUCUGAGAGGACGACCAGCCACACUGGGAUUGAGACACGGCCCAGACUCCUACGGGAGGCAGCAGUGGGGAAUUUUGGACAAUGGGCGCAAGCCUGAUCCAGCAAUGCCGCGUGCAGGAAGAAGGCCUUCGGGUUGUAAACUGCUUUUGUACGGAACGAAAAGGCUCUGGUUAAUACCUGGGGCUCAUGACGGUACCGUAAGAAUAAGCACCGGCUAACUACGUGCCAGCCGCCGCCGUAAAAC
rnacentral:rRNA from 1 species